GAAAAAGGGGUGAAAAGAACAAAUUUUUGUCCAUCUUUGUUCAUCAUAGCCUAAAGUUAGAGAAGAGAAAGGAGAGGAGAAAGCUCUUGAAUGUUCGGUCACUUGGGGAAGAAAAUUGAAGGAAAUCCCCAACCAUAGUGGGCUUGGAGCUGUGAGGGAAUUCGGAGUGGCCACCCGUUCCGAAAGUUUGGUUUUCUUCUGGUGAAGUGGACAUCCUAUUAUUUACGUUGAGGUUUGGGUUUUUAAAUGUAAUAAGGCCGCUUAAUUAUUUUUUAUGAUUUUAAUAUGUAUUACUAAGAUAAGUAUUACUUAUUUUAACUGUUGAAAUUGGAUACCUUUAGGGCGCGUUUUCAAAAACAACAA